rnacentral:lncRNA from 1 species
CUGGACUCCAUAGUUUUGUGGGGAUGUUGGAUUUAGAUUGACAAGUAAAGGAUGAUGGCCCUAGGAGAAAUGAUCAUUAAGACGAAAGAUCAACUUUCUGCUUCCUUUACCUAACUCCAGGAGGAGUAUAAAAUAAAUAUUACUUCUUUUUGCUUUCCUGAAACCCUUGCUGGAGGUGAGAAUUCAUUCUCACACUCUAAACAUCCUUUCUCGUGACUAGUCUACAAUUAUUUUUAAAUUCAGAGAGUAUUUUGACCCUGUGAAGAGACUGUGAAAAGUAGGGUGUGCCUAGUGGUUUGUAUGUGGAAUGCCCCAGGCAGAGGGACUUCCUAGGAGCCAAGCUGUUGCUUGGCUAUCUUUGUGUCAUACGUGACUUCUGUUCGAGUUCCAGCAUUAGCGGGAGAGCCUCACAUAUAUUGCCAGCCCUCUCCCUGCCCAGAACUCUUGUGACUGGCCCUAAGGCAGAUCAGGUGUUUAUUCCAUAUCCUUGAUGACAAAGAAACUGUGAUCGUGUUCUGGGGAAUGUCCCUUUUCCCAUUCAAGUGUAUGAUCAUAUUUUCAAGCAAUCACGUUUACAUUCAGCCUGGAAACUUUCUGCCCAGUUCUUAAGUUCUACUGCCAGCAGCUUGGAUACUACAGAAUGCUGAUUUAGCUCAUAGGAUGCAUUGAACCACUUUGCCAUGGUAACCAGCAGACAGACCUGAGAGAAGCAAGGCUGCAGAGAAACUGUAGCCAUCACCAAACAACAAAUCAAAGGGAAGUGUCUCAGGAGAGAUUUCUAAUUAUCAUACAUUUGUCCUUGCAGCCAAACCAGGAUGCAGUGGAAAUGGUGCCUUUGGCACUAGCAUCUUAGGUCACAAAAUCAGUUGUCUUGAAAUUCUUACUAACUUUUGAACGUGGAACCCUACAUCUUCGUUUUGUACUGGUCCCCACAUAUUUUAUAGCUGAUCUGAAGGAGGAGAGAGAGAUGAUGGGGGAUGAAGGGUAUGGAAUUGUAUGCUAUGGCUGCCUGCUGUCGAAGUUCUCCAGGUCCAGAGAGGAUUUAAGUUGCUGGAAUAAUCCACCCAGUCUUCGAGAUGUGAUUAUAUAAUUGAUGGUAUGUGGAUAUCACUGAUCACAAAACACAAUAAAGGACCUAAGGCAACAUCUUUGUUCUUUCUCAAUGUGGGGAAAAUGUUUUUGUUCUACUUGGUAAGUGGCCUCUGCAGUGUCUCUUGGAGACCUCAAUAAAUGAUUAUUUUCCAGCAUUCCAUCACAUGCCAAAUGUUUUACUCCCAUGUCCCUGAGGUUCUCGUCUGUCAGCACUUGUCUUGCAGCUCAGUACAGACAGGGCAUGGGUAAAGUGCACAGUGAAGAUUGGUACAGGAAAGUCUGAAGCCCUUUCUUCCUGAAGAUGAAAAAUCUUCUGGACUUACCCGCACCCCUCCAGAUCUUAAGACUGACUCUUGUUUGAAGAUGUGUGUUUUGCUUUACUUCCUCUGUGAGUGCUCAGCACAGAGCGGUAUCUACUUUUCUGGUUUUACAUUUUUCAUUUUAAAGAUCCAAUUACCUCAAGUCCUUUUCUUGAAUAUUGCAGUGGGCCUGCUGACCUAAUAAUUCUCUCAUCUCUAAUUUCAAUCAUUAUCUCUACUUGAAGUUGCAUCACACAUACGCACACCUGAAUGUGUGAGAAGGACAGAGACAAUUCCCCCCGCAGGAAGAAAUGGCUCAUAUCAUUUGAGAGCCAAGUCUCAAGGGCAUCAUCAGUGUUAUUUCCUCAUGUUCAGUGGCAUUUUCUGGUGUGUCGUAUUAGAUUUAGUUAUAGUAUCACCAACUAUAGUAGCGCAGCCGCUCUGCUCUUCAGAAAUGCUGAAACAGGCACAGCCUGGAGGCGCUAGGAAAG